rnacentral:rRNA from 1 species
CCUACGGGGCGCUGCAGUGAGGAAUAUUGGUCAAUGGACGAGAGUCUGAACCAGCCAAGUAGCGUGAAGGAUGACUGCCCUAUGGGUUGUAAACUUCUUUUAUAUGGGAAUAAAACGUUCCACGUGUGGGAUUUUGUAUGUACCAUAUGAAUAAGGAUCGGCUAACUCCGUGCCAGCAGCCGCGGUAAUACGGAGGAUCCGAGCGGUAUCCGGAUUUAUUGGGUUUAAAGGGAGCGUAGGUGGAUUGUUAAGUCAGUUGUGAAAGUUUGCGGCUCAACCGUAAAAUUGCAGUUGAAACUGGCAGUCUUGAGUACAGUAGAGGUGGGCGGAAUUCGUGGUGUAGCGGUGAAAUGCUUAGAUAUCACGAAGAACUCCGAUUGCGAAGGCAGUUCACUGGACUGCAACUGACACUGAGGCUCGAAAGUGUGGGUAUCAAACAGGAUUAGAUACCCUAGUAGUC